rnacentral:misc_RNA from 1 species
AUCGCACCGCGAAUUGAGCAUUCGACGCGCCGUGCGCA